CCGGCUCGGCGCUGGGGCACCCGGCCGCCUCCCCCCGGGCGGGCCGGGGGCGUGCGGGGAGGCGGCCCCCGGGCGGCGGCUGAGGGAAGGAGGCAGGGAAGGGAGGGAAGGAGGCAGGGAAGGAGGCCGGGAGGGAGGCAGGGAGGCCGGCAGGCAACGGGCUCCGUCUCUGGAGGUUGGCGGCAGGAUGUAUGGAUUUAUAAACACAUGCCUGAAGUCUUUGGUGGUUGAAAAGUAUGGUGAAGAAGUAUGGGAAAAAUUAAGACUCCAGGCCGGAGUUCAGGAUACUUUCUUGACUUUUGAAGUUUACAAAGAUGAGAUCACAAUGCAACUUGUUGACAAAGCCUGCAAAGUAUUAGGUGUUCCUGCUGACAUGGUUCUGAAAGAGUUUGGAGAAUAUUUCUUUGAAUUCUGUAAACGAUCAGGCUAUGAUCACAUGCUGAGAACACUGGGUGGAAAUCUAUAUGAGUUCAUAGAGAACUUGGAUGCAUUACACAGCUACCUGUCCCUCUCUUACCAGGAGAUGAAUGCACCGUCUUUUAGAGUAGAAAAGAAUGAAGAUGGCUCAAUGCAUUUACAUUACUAUUCAGAUAGAAGAGGUCUAUACCAUAUUGUGCCAGGAAUCAUUGGUGCAGCAGCCCUGGAUUUUUUUAACAUUGAGAUUUCAAUGGAAAUAGUCAAUCAAACAGAAGAAGAAGAAAGAACUGGGAAAAAAGAGCAUAUUGUUUUCCUUGUCACUCAAAACCCUGUACUUCCAUACGAAGAAAGAAAGAAAUAUUCUUCCUCACCUCCAUAUCUUGCUGACUCUGAAAAACAAAGUGAGACCCAACUGAAUAAUGAGGACCCUGAAAAAGCCAAGAAUACAAUUAGAGACAGAGGAAACUUGGUUUGUCCUGUCAAGAAAAGUCACUGGAAAACAAUAAGAGGAAUAAUCACAUUAGGAAGAGGUAAACUCCUGAGAGGAUUUGACCCUGUUUAUCCCAAGAGUCUUUGGAUUGACACAAAAACAUUUUGCAAUGGGCUUCCUUUUCAUAUGGUUUUUGACAAAGAGCUCAGAGUGAAGCAAGCUGGGGUGAGCAUUCAAAAGAUUGUACCUGGCCUUCAGACCAUGGGCAUCUGCUUGGAUCAGUAUUUCAGUAUCGUUCACCCAGAAGUACCCUUCACCAUCUCUAGCAUUCAGAAAUUUAUCAACAGCCAAUUUGUUUUCCAGACUAGGAGAGAGAUGAUGCCAGAGUCAUGGAAACAACGGCCAAUGCUAGAGCUUAGAGGCCAGAUGAUCUGGAUGGAGUCCCUGCAGUGCAUGCUCUAUCUCUGCUCACCUUUGCUUCGCACUUUGCACGAGCUAGAGGAACGACAGAUGCAUAUUGCAGACAUUGCACCUCAUGAUGUGACCAGGGAUUUGAUUCUUCUCAAUCAGCAGCGACUGGCAGAGAUGGAGCUUUCUAACCAGCUGGAGAGGAAGAAGGAAGAACUGCGAAUACUGUCAAAGCACCUGGAAGAAGAGAAGAAAAAGACUGAAGCUCUGCUCUAUGCCAUGCUCCCUCAGCACGUGGCCAACCAGCUGAAAGAAGGGAAGCGAGUUGAGGCAGGAGAGUUCAAGGAGUGCACCAUACUGUUCAGUGAUGUUGUGACCUUUACCAACAUUUGUGCCCAAUGUGAGCCUAUUCAGAUAGUUCUCAUGUUAAAUACAAUGUACCUGCAAUUUGACAGACUGACCACAGUGCAUGAUGUGUACAAGGUGGAGACAAUUGGAGAUGCCUAUAUGGUCGUAGGUGGGGUUCCUGUGCCUGUAUCCACUCACGCUGAGCGGGUUGCUAACUUUGCCUUGGGGAUGGUAAUAGCAGCUAAAGGAGUACAGAACCCAGUUUCUGGAAAUCCAAUCCAAAUUAGAGUUGGGAUCCAUACAGGUCCUGUCUUGGCUGGAGUUGUUGGAGAAAAGAUGCCUCGUUACUGCUUAUUUGGAGAUACAGUGAAUAUAGCUUCCCGGAUGGAGAGUCAUGGUGUCCCAAGUAAAAUUCAUCUAAGCUCCAGUACCUAUCAAUGCCUAAAAUACAAGAAUUUUGAGAUGACUGAAAGAGGAGAAAUAGAAGUGAAAGGCAAAGGGAAAAUGCACACAUAUUUCCUUGUUAGAAAUAAAGCUGCAACUGAGAAUGAAAUUAUGGGGAGGCCAGUAAAAGACUUAGAUUCUGGCCAUGCAUCCGUUCAGUCCUUUCAAGAAGGCAGGACUGAAACAACACCAAGUUCUCAUCAGACAGUUAAUCAGACUCAGCAAGAGAAGGACCAGACCACAACCAUUGCAAUGAAGUAUAUUGACGGUCCCACAGAUGCACAAAACAGUCUCAAAAGAAGAAAUCAAGCAAAAAAUGCAGAUUUAACAGCAAUCGAGAAAGAGGUGACUCAUACAACUAGAAAUAUUCCUACUCAAGUGAGCACUUGCAAAAAAAGCAACAUUCCCUGAAAUGACCAUCUGUCUAGACUUCAGCACAACCAAUACCUUCCCUGUGUAAGUCUGGAGCAUCACGUUUCACCCCUGCGUCAGUGGCAAGAGUGAAGCCCUUUAAACACCAGACGGAGAGGUAAGACUGAUGAAAGGAAUUGCCUCCUCUCUACAGUAUUAACAAGAUGAAAUUUCACCUAGCUAGAUUUUCUUUUUAAACCCACGAGACAGGAGCUGUUUUGGCUGGGUGCUCUGUGGGUCUGUCUAUGCUAGCACUCGCAGACCAAUUGAGGUGGAUGUGUAGAGUGAAGCUGUCAGUGCUGACAUCCACACAUCAGGUAUUUCAGAGGGCUUGCUCAUGUGGUCCCACACACUGAAUACCUUUUAGCUUUUGGAGCACCUUAUAAGUGCAUCUUCUGGCUUCGUGUCAUGCAGAAGGGAUCUGUUCAUGCACUUUGAGACCACUCUACAAUUUGAAACAAAGUACAGUUAAGUUAUGACUAGGGAUGUCUCCUGACACUGACUGAAAUGUAAAUACAGAUGCACCCUUUAACAUUAGCACUUUCAACAACAAAACAGGACAGCACCAGUCUGGAAGAGGGCAAUUUUAUGACUGGCAGGAUUUAUUUAUUUAUUUAUUUAGAAGGAUUUUGCUAUCUAGAUAUUGCUCAUUAUUUUGGGGAGGGUUAUAUCAGCUGUAGGGUGAAGAUGCGUCUGAGCAUUAUUUUUGUUAAAUUGGUUUUACCAAUGGUGUGCUUGUGUGCUACCCUCAGACACACAUCUAAAUUUCACCUUAGUAACUCCCCCUGACAUGGAGCACCUUCCAGUGCUCACAGUUUUGCACUUCUGUGUUGUGACCAUAAUUUUAAAGUCUUUUCUAAAGAAAGGUAAUACCCAACUUCUCUCUCACUCACGGUGAAUCUGCCAUAACAGUUAAAUUGGUGCUGUCCCACUGAUUUAACUUGAGAAUUUACUCUGACAAGAUUUUUUUGCCUCCAACCUAGAGAUGCGUUUUACUACUCUUGACUAGUCAUGCUGAUGAAAUGGAGAACAUGUCAUUUAACAAAUGGCAGUGGUGGACUUGGUGUUUAUCUGGACUUGCUAUGGAUAUAUAAAGCCACUUAGCCCCAAGCAUAAGUGUUACACAGGAGGGAACAUCUCUUAGAGGCCGGUGCUAAUGCAGGAGGGAAACUCUUGCAAGAAGGCCAGGGCCCUUCUGAACUUUAAUGAAUUCUUUAUGGGAGGAAGAAAGAAAAGGACCAUGGCUUAAUUGCUGCCUGCAUCUAGCUGCCCAAAUCUAGCUUUGCUUAUACCUGCCCUUUUCGCACUGACCAAUCUAUGAAUAUUUAAUAUUGGAAUGUGUUAAUUGCCAGUAAGUGUGCCAUGGUAAGAUACUUUAUGCUGUACUUCAAUAAAAUUGCUGUGCUCAGUGAUUUCUCUGUGGCCUCUGCUACAUCUGGUCUUCUGCUGCUCUGCUGGAGAUGUGAAGCUGGGUCAAAUCUAAACACCUGCUUUUAAAAAUUAAUGUGCCUGUACAUCAUCCUGUGUUUCUAGAUCUGUAGGUACUGCUAAAGACUGAAAUAAUGCAAAAAUACCAUUCAAAAAUAUUUUUUUCCAUUGAUAUACUGACUGCCAUUUUUCAAUGACUACUUUGAUUCAUUUCCCUCUUUUUCCUUCCACCUUUUUUUGUUCUUUUUUUUUUUUUACAAAUAUACAAAAAAUUAAGAUCAUUACACCUCUAAUAAAUGUAAAGUGAGUUUAAUUUCUUGACCAUGCACAGUUAUGCAUUUUUGUGGCAUCAGAAUCAGCACACUACAGUUAACAUUGUCAUAAGCUAGAACGUGUUAAUAGAGUUUUCAUUGCAGUGACUUACCUACAUUGAAUUGACACAAAAAAGGUGAGAGAACAGAAUUUCCCACUGCCACUUCAUGGAUGCUAAGGCUUAGAGAAUUUAAAAGCUGAGAUUUUUGAAAGCUGUCUAAAAUAUAUGGAUUACCAAAUCCCAUUAAAUCUGGUUUUAAAGCGUGAAGUUUCAAAAGCACUUGGGUGCCUUAAAAGUUUAGGGGCCAGAUUUUCAAAGAUACUUGUUGUUACUUUGGUAAGUGAAAUCAACUGGAUUUAGGUACGUAAUACGUGUCUGGUUUCUGACAAUAAAGCUUUAAUUAAAACAUUUAAAAAGCAUUUCCCUGUCAGUGCUUUCAGAAAUUAGCAAACUUUCCAAACUGUACCCUCAUUUGCUGGGCGUCGUUGAUUAAACACAUCAAAAGGCAACUCUGUAUGGACCCAUGGUGGAAAUAAAAUUCACAAAUAAAAUAGC